GGGGGUGACAUUGGCUUCGACGGGAUUAUUUGUUCUUUGAACUGCGCACCGUGUUCUCCGUAGACACGUAAAACGACGGUAAAAAAAUAAAAGGCGAAUAUAACUACGCUUUAGCUGCGUAAUUAACGCAGCCGUUCUUCAGCUUCAUUCAUACCUGGGGUUGAAAGAACGUCGUUUGGUAUGAUAGCCGAAUCGAACUUCCGGAUAGAAGAGGCGAAACAAAUUUCGGAAUAGUCCCGAUAUAAUUUGUCUGUCAAUGCUGUCGGGAUCAAAUUAAAUGACAGAAUAUGUGUGUAGACGUUCAUAGGAUUGUAAUUUCGGACGCGGGUUCGACUCCCGCCACCUCCACUC
rnacentral:tmRNA from 1 species